GAUUUAAGUAAACAUUCACUAUAUGUGUAGGAGAUCCUUCCUCGAGGAUAACAUCCACGACGGGGUCAGCGUUGCCACUAGUUCAGGAAUCUCCCUUUUGUUACUCCGUAGAUCAAAUCUGCAUUCUGCAGACCCGUGCUUGGUUUGGCUGAAUCCUUGCCCCAAGGCUGCACCCGCCAGGGAAACAACCAUCUACUCCGUUGAGCGUUGCCGUGCUUGGUUUGACUGAACCCUUUCAUCAAGGCACACCAAUCCGGUAAGCCACUAACCUUGUCAUAGAUUCUUGAUUCGAGGUAAAUCAGCUCGAUAACGUCGAGUGUAGCCUCGCCUGGCCACUAGUUUGGAAUUUUAAAUUGAAUUUGCAGACUCGUGCUUGCUUUCGCUGGCUCCUUGCACGGUUGCACCAAGGCACACCAACCCGUCAGGGAACCAAACUUAUUGACUCGAGGUAAAUGAUCUAAUUGGACUCAGUUUUCGAAGGAUUUUGGUCCUGCGCUAUUUUUCAUGGAGGUUAGAUUCAUGUUUCACCUUUUACUACACUUCCGAACUCUAGUAACAUCUGACGUUCAUCACAACUCAGGUGCAACAAGGCAAUUCUCGCAUACCACCCAUCAAGUAUGGGUUUUCUCUUAACAAUACUGCACAUGCAUUAUAAUUACUGAUGUGUAAAAGAAAUAAAUGAAUUUUUUUAAUUCUUUUCUUAAGAGAUGAUCUCCUUACAAGAAAGAUACUUAAAGUCAUGGAGAUGGUGAAUACCGCUUCUAUAUGAUCCAAUGAUCCAUGGUGGCAGUUCCACCAUGGAUGAUUGUGCCAACUUGGUGAGGAAGUUUGAGAGAAUUUCCUUGCUCACUAUCCGUGUGAAACCAACACGGCGGCACAUGAGCUGGCUCAGUUUGUCCGGCAUUCAGCAUCGGCGAUAACCACCCGUGCCAAUGAUUUGCACCUUUUUUAAUUUCAGAUGUAACUUUUUUUUGACCGGGAUUUCAGAUGUAACUAUAGAUUAUAGAUGAUGAAAAUUCAAUAAAGAGAUAUUUCCCUGUAAAAAAA